CAGCCGCCACGGGAAUACGUAGGGUGCAAGCGUUAAUCGGAAUUACUGGGCGUAAAGCGUGCGCAGGCGGUUUUGUAAGACAGGCGUGAAAUCCCCGGGCUCAACCUGGGAAUGGCGCUUGUGACUGCAAAGCUAGAGUGCGGCAGAGGGGGAUGGAAUUCCGCGUGUAGCAGUGAAAUGCGUAGAUAUGCGGAGGAACACCGAUGGCGAAGGCAAUCCCCUGGGCCUGCACUGACGCUCAUGCACGAAAGCGUGGGUAGCAAACAGGAUUAGAUACCCCCGUAGUCCCUGUCUCUUAUAA
rnacentral:rRNA from 1 species